UACGGGGGGGGGCAAGCGUUGUUCGGAAUUACUGGGCGUAAAGGGCUCGUAGGCGGCCAACUAAGUCAGACGUGAAAUCCCUCGGCUUAACCGGGGAACUGCGUCUGAUACUGGAUGGCUUGAAUCCGGGAGAGGGAUGUGGAAUUCCAGGUGUAGCGGUGAAAUUCGUAGAUAUUCGGAAGAACACCAGUGGCGAAGGCGGCUCACUGGACUGGUAUUGACGCUGAGGUGCGAAAGCGUGGGGAGCAAACAGG
rnacentral:rRNA from 1 species